AUUGAACGCUGGCGGCAGGCCUAACACAUGCAAGUCGAACGGUAACAGGAAGAAGCUUGCUUCUUUGCUGACGAGUGGCGGACGGGUGAGUAAUGUCUGGGAAACUGCCUGAUGGAGGGGGAUAACUACUGGAAACGGUAGCUAAUACCGCAUAACGUCGCAAGACCAAAGAGGGGGACCUUCGGGCCUCUUGCCAUCGGAUGUGCCCAGAUGGGAUUAGCUAGUAGGUGGGGUAACGGCUCACCUAGGCGACGAUCCCUAGCUGGUCUGGGAGGAUGACCAGCCACACUGGAACUGAGACACGGUCCAGACUCCUACGGGAGGCAGCAGUGGGGAAUAUUGCACAAUGGGCGCAAGCCUGAUGCAGCCAUGCCGCGUGUAUGAAGAAGGCCUUCGGGUUGUAAAGUACUUUCAGCGGGGAGGAAGGGAGUAAAGUUAAUACCUUUACUCAUUGACGUUACCCGCAGAAGAAGCACCGGCUAACUCCGUG
rnacentral:rRNA from 1 species